UAGUGACUUGACGCAUUUCUAAGGCAUUGGCGAGUUUCUCGUGAUUUGGCGCAUUUCCAGUGCCUUGGCACAUUUCCAGUGCCUUGGCGCGUUUCUAGUGACUUGGCCCAUUCCUAGUGCCUUGGCGCGUUUCUCGUGCCUUGGCGCAUUUCCAGUGCCUUGGCGCAUUUCCAGUGCCUUGGCCCUUAUCAAGUGCCUUGGCGCAUUUCUAGA
ensembl:ncRNA B0454.20 ncRNA